rnacentral:lncRNA from 1 species
CAAACGAGCUCUAAAUCCAAAAAAUUCCAAAUAACAAAAAAUCAAAGAUCACAUUGAGGGAAAUGAGAAACGUAGUCAGCCUGUUUCGAUUGACCCAUGAAUUGACUUGGUGGAUGGCGGCUUUUCUAUGGAGAAGAGAGCGAAAUGGAACUGAGUUUAUCUUUGGACGGAGAAGGAUGGCUCGCAGGCGGUGUUGGUUGAGUUCAUUACAAUUAACAAAUGAGAUAGACUACAGGGAGAUUAAGAACAAUACGGUGGUGGUGGAGUAGUAGCGAGAGAACAACUCAUUAAGCUGCGCAAUUAAGAAUAAGCAGGCAAUAUUUGCCUCGUCAAGACCAAAAAGGUACAACUUUAUCUGCUUCUAGUCCAACUGCCUAACAGCUUGUUUGUAUGGUUGUUAUGUAUGGUUUUAUCAUGUAUUGUAUAAUAUUGUAUUGUAAUGCAUUAUUUUGAUGUAUAUAAUGUCCAAAUAGAUGGUAUUGUUUGUCAUACU